GCCAUUUUGAAACUGGUAUAGAAGGCACACAUUGAGCAACUCAAGCAUUUUUCUGCCUCCCUCAAUGUUAAAGAACAAGAUGCCUAGUCACUGAGAGGUCAGAGAAAGAAAUCAUCAUGAAAGAGAAGAAAAACAGAUAAAUCUUAAGUAAAGAUCAUGGGAGGCAUGAAUCGAAAUGAUAUUGUCAUUGGAAUAUACCACAGACCAUCUGAAAAGGAGAAAAUAGGUCACCAAGAGAAACUUGAGAGUUUGCAAGAGUAUUUUCAGAACCAUGGAGAAGGUGUUAUAAUAGCACAUUAACCGCUGCUGAAACUGAAAUAAGAAUUGUCAUUUGGACUUCAUGACUUCCGCCAGGCUACACAAUGAACAAUACAGCAUAGGAGGCCACCUGGUGGUGAAAUGACUAAUUAACCAUUUAAUUCUGUGCUUAAAAGUAGGGCAUGGGGAUGAAGACAAUGAUAAGCAAAAUGGAAAAGAAAAUGAGGAAGAUUUGUCUCAUGUGAGCGUGACAAAUAACAGGUGCUAACUGGUACUACAGUGAAGAUGCCCAAGUGACUGGGAAAUUGCUCAGAUUUCAUAAGACAAAUGUUUGUUCCUCUUAGUUUGUAGAUGAUCUGGCUGAAAAAUACACUCUUUACUUUUUUGCCCACCUCAAAAAUCCUCCUCUGAUCACAGGUCACAAUGAUACUUUUAAAGUUCUUUUUCAAAAUAUAUUUUUAUCUAUUUCAUAAGUCAAAACUUUAUAGUUAGAAACAUAGUGAAAAAAUCCCCAGUGUGUGGCUGGCACAGCCUACUGUUAUAUGAGGAUUUCACAGUAGAAGAAAAAAUCGACUGUAUUCCCAUGACCACCCCUUCCUAAUUCUCUAGUAACAACCACUUUUUAUUACUUCCCUUUGACAGUGGCUUUAAUCUUGCUUCUUCCUGUACUGUUACUUUAAAAUGUGGUGUGUCUUUUCCCCAACUAGUUAUUUUUACUUUUUUUGUGUGGUUUAAAAAAAAACUUCCUGGAAAUUUUUAUGAUAGACAUGAGUAUGUAGAGAAUGGAAACAAAAGCAAGGUAUUUGAAAUCAUCAGAUAUAAAACAAUGAACUAAGAAAACUGGUUAUAAAAUGUGUGCUCCAAAUGGAAAAUAAGCAACUUAAGUCAUUUUUUUCUGAUAGAAAAUAUCUACUGGGGGAGAUACUUUGUUCCAAAAAAUGAAAGUUACUUUAAUAAAAUACUUUUUUUCCUCUUUGUCAA